CCCAAUAUCAAGCCCUAAUUUCUAAACCUCCUGCUGACGCCCACCUCCUCACAUUGCAGCCUGUCAUGCCUACCUCCCGCUCACGCCGCAACCUGUCUCUGUCUCUCAACCGCCAACGCCGGCGACUAUUGCAACGCACCACCGAUCACCCAACUGAGCGCCGAUCGAAGUUGCUUGCCAACGUCGAUGAGUUUCGUUUCUUCUCCCUCCCUUUAUCUCUUCCCCUGUAGGUUUAUUUCCAAAGUGUGUUGAUCUUAUUUCCAAAUUAUUCCUUUAUCUACUUUCUUCACUUAUUCCGACUUCUUGGUCUGCUCGAAACCUUCAUAUUGUUUCUCCAUCUUCUCCAAUUUGUUAUUAAUCUGUCCAACCUUAGUGCAAUUCCCAUUUCUACAAGUGAGAUUUUGGAUGGCAGCAGCGGUAUGCUUGGUUUUGUGGAAGAGUCGUGGUUCUUUCUAUCUUGUCUCUAUUGCUCUACCUGUUUCUAUGUCUAGUCAACCUUGCAAAUUAGUUUUAGCAUCUCAAAUCUUGCCGCAUUAAGAAGAUCAACGCAAGCGCGAAGGCCUCUACCACCACUAUUGCAAGCCUGCACAAAUAGCUGGAUAGUUAAACCCUAUUUGUCUUGCUGCUAACUCCCACGCAAGGUUUUAAGUGUAACAUGGAGUAAUGAUGCAGAACGUAUAUUUUUAGGGAGCAGUGAUGGGUAUGUACAUGUACCACCAAUUGUUACUUGCAAUGAAAAUCAAUAUAAUGUACUAAUUACUAUGAACGUGAUCUUCUCCAAUUUUGUUGCUAAAUUAUAGUUACUCCACGUUUGUGCAUUCCUCACCCUACUUGCCCUAAUUUUGUUGCUAAAUUAAAGUUACUCUUACUUGUCUUUUGCCAAAUGCAUAAUCAAGAUCACCACGGUGAGGAUUAUUCGUAGUCCUUUGCACUAAGGUGAGGAUUAUUCAUAGAUCACCAUGUUCUUAAAUCUAUUCAUUUCUUACAAUUUUUUUUGUUUGUUUCCCUUUUAGUUUCAUUGCCCAUAUGAAUUGAAUUUGAUAAGGUAUGUGUUUAUGAUGUUUGGUAAGAAGUAAUAAGAUUGUCCCUGACUCUGUUAUUGUCUUUUGUUGGUGUAUUGUAUUGAUAGGGAUGUGUGCGUCAAACUUGGAGCCUUCAUCCAAAGAUAAGUGGCAUUGCUGAAUCUAUGAUGUUAAAGUAUGCUGAUAAUAUUGUAAAGUUUUGCAAGAAUCCUUUGGAGCAAUGAAGUCAUAUUUGCGACAAUUCAUCAAUGUAUUGGCCUUUUUGUAGGUUUGGUAGCAAAAUUUUGGUUCAAAUGUAUUUAAAUGGCUUGUUUGUACCAAAACAUAUAUGUUCAUUGCUUCAUUGUACAAACACUUUACCAAC